rnacentral:rRNA from 1 species
UACGUAGGGAGCAAGCGUUGUCCGGAAUCGAUUGGGCGUAAAGCGCGCGUAGGCGGCCCUGUAAGUCCGUUGUGAAAGUCAAAGGCUCAACCUUUGAAAGCCGAUGGAUACUGCAGGGCUUAGAGUCCGGAAGAGGCGAGUGGAAUUCCUGGUGUAGCGGUGGAAUGCGCAGAUAUCAGGAGGAACACCAAUAGCGAAGGCAGCUCGCUGGGACGGUACUGACGCUAAGGCGCGAAAGCGUGGGGAGCGA